rnacentral:lncRNA from 1 species
ACAGCUGUCGCUUGCCAGGCAGCCCGAGAGAGUUCUGGCGAGGGCUGCGGGAAGGAAAGGGGGCGGCGUCCUUCACAGGGAGGGUGCAGCUGACCUCCCUCCCCUUGUGCAGACUGGAAAAGAAUGGCCCAGAUCCUCUGGACUCCUCAGAUGAGCGGAUUCAGAGAGAAGCUUUUGAGAGCGUGCUGGCGGAGACAUUUUUCACAAAAGAGCCCUUGCGGUGCUGGUGUCCGUGGCGUGCCUGGGUGGAAAAUGAGCUUAUAUAUGAAGAAGUCAGCGAGUGGACAAAGCCAGGCGCAAUGGAUAGCAAAGAUGUGGAAGUCUCCUCGAUUCAAGUUACAAGAAAACCGCAGCAUGGAGUCUGCUCUCAGCUGUUGGGGAAUUACCGAUGCCUUUGACUAAGUCAAGACUGACUUUUCCAGAAUAUCACCCAAGAGAUAGAGCCGUCCCUGUCCAAGUUUGUGCGCUAGCCCUUCAUGGAGGUCAGAGAGGAAGAAACAAAGGCAGCUGUGGCCUCGGCGGUCACAGUGUCAGAACGCACAAGCCCCAUAAAGAGGUUUCACGCAGGCCACCCAUCCCUUUUCAUUCUCCAGCAGAACAGGACAGAGAGCGUUCUGUUCUGCGGAAGGUCUUCCACUCUACAAGGCAAUCCCUCCAGCUGCUUUGCUGUAUUGUGCUGUCUCCUGUCACACUAUGAAUGCAGUGACCUCAGCCAGCAACAGGGAGAACCCCCCUGCCUCCCGAACAAAGGACCUCACGUGAAAUCCUGAGCUCAGAGCUUACAGAUAUGUGUGCGCUUUCACUUUACAUCGGCCGUGACUUCCAAACAACUUCAGGAAACUUUAGGAUCUCUGAGGUAUACUGGAGAUGACAGCAGCGUAGAAUGUUCAUUUGGAUUUAGAACAGAAAUGCUUAUUUUAUAUUUGGCUGCUCCCAAACUGUCCCCAGACUUCCUCUCCAGUGGUUACCCUCCACUGCCCUGGAUGUCCCACGUUUACACUCCACACUCACACCUCCACCUUAACAAAGUCCUCCACUGGGUCAAACCAUACAUCGCUUCGUCUCUGUAGUGAUGACUUCCUGUCCUCUGCUCUGUGGAUAAAGACCCCAGAUAAAGAUGCCUGUGUUGCUCAACUCUUGUAAAUACUCUUGAGACAUUUUGAAAGCAGAAGGAAAGGAGACAGACGGGGAAAAUAAAAGGGAUGGUCUGCUUGUGCGGAAACGUUUUGAGAAUGCCCUUCCCUAAGAGAGAACAGUAAAAGUGAGCAAUACUUCCUGAGCUGUGGGUUCAUAUGGCUGGACUGUGCUGUUUCUCACGGGAGAAGUUCUCGUCUCCCCUGCGUGUACAUCCCUGUUUGCCAGCCUGGCCUUCGGUGUGGUGAUAUCAUGGUGCACUCCCAGGAGGGAAGUGCUUGGUCAAGACUUCUGCUUGGGUUCGACUAUCAGUUCUGGUUUCCUUUAAGGCACAGGAUCUUCCCUUUAAGGCACAAACACCCCCUUGACACAAAGUAAGGGACAAGGGAACUUUAAACCAUUUGGAAACCCAAGCACAAUAGGCUGUAGGUUGUAAAAAGAAAUUACAAAGGUAAUUUUAUCCAGAAGAGGGAGCAGUUUAACUUCUGCAGGGUAAGAUUCAGAUUCACUUUUGUAACUGAACAGGGAAUUUUCUAAAUAUUUUGAAAAUGCCGAAACAUUUCCUGUUGGCAUUUCACAGAAACGUUCAAAGUUCCCUAAUGAUAGUUUCCGCUGUGCUCACUCCGGAGGCUGCUAAGCAACCUCAGUAAUUAGCUCGAUUGAGGAAACGAAACUGUGGGGGACUCAGUUUCCAUGAUAGGGAAACCAGGCAAGAAAUAUUGUCUCCUCAAGUUGCGACGAGACAGUAGUUCUUGCCUGGUUUCUCUAUCAUGGAGUCUUGGUUGGACUCUGCUAUGCGUCUCUUGAUGAAAUGUGAUACUAGCAAUUGAACAAUUAAGAAAAUGGAUGGCGGGGGGUGGAGCGGUUUGUCACUACUGGAGUUGCAGAGGCUCAGUGGGGGAACCUGAGAAACACUGCGUCCCCCAGGUCAUCACCGCGUCAGCACUGAUGAGUCAUGUUGAUGGCAUGGACCCUGAAUAUGACACAAUGAGAUGUCACUUUACCUCUGUGGCCUUUCCCAGAAAAAACCAUAACCCCAGUCUAACCAUGAGAAAAAUAUAAGACAAUGGUGCAGGCAGGGCAUUUCAGGAGAGGGUCAGGUAAAGGGGAGGGGGUCCCAGGAGAGGGUCAGGGGAGGGGACUUCAGGAGAGGGACAGGGAGAGGGGAGGGGGCUCCAGGAGAGGGUCAGGGAAAGGGGAGGGGGUCCCAGGAGAGGGUCAGGGAAAGGGGAGGGGGGUCCCAGGUGAGGGUCAGGGGAGGGGACUUCAGGAGAGGGACAGGGAGAGGGGAGGGGGCUCCAGGAGAGGGUCAGGGAAAGGGGAGGGGACUUCAGGUGAGGGUCAGGGAAAGGCGAGGGGGUCCCAGGACAGGGUCAGGGGAGGGGACUUCAGGAGAGGGACAGGGAGGGGGGAGGGGGGCUCCAGGAGAGGGUCAGGGAUAGGGGAGGGGGGUCCCAGGAGAGGAUCAGGGGAAGGGGUGGGGCUUCAGGAGAGGGUCUGAGAACACACAGGCAGGCAACACCUUAAAAUCCCAUCUCAGUCAGCAAUGACUCCUCAUAGGGCCACCACGAGCUUAAAUGUCACUUAAAUGUCCCUAUUUGCCAGCCUGGACUUCGGUGUGGUGAUAUCAUGGUGCAUUCCCAGGAGGGAAGUGCUUGGUCAAGACUUCUGCUUGGGUUCGACUGUCGGUUCUGGUUUCACAUGCACUGUGUGAACACGCUUCAUACAGAGGGUCAGCACCGCACUGUGUGAACAUGCUUCAUGCAGAGAGCCUGUACUGCACCAGGUGAACACACUUCAUACAGAGAGUCAGCACCGCACCGUGUGAACAUGCUUCAUACAGAGAGUCAGCACCGCACUGUGUGAACACGCUUCAUACAGAGAGUCAGCACCGCACCGUGUGAACACACUUCAUACAGAGAGUCAGUACUGCACCGUGUGAACAUGCUUCAUACAGAAGAUCAGCACCUCACUGUGUGAACACACUUCAUACAGAAGGUCAGCAAUGCACCGUGUGAACACACUUCAUACAGAGAGUCAGCACUGCACUGUGUGAACAUGCUUCAUACAGAAGAUCAGCACCUCACUGCGUGAACAUGUGUUAUACAGAGAGUCAGCACCGCACCGCGUGAACAUCCUUCAUACAGGUCAGCACUGCACCAUGUGAACACACUUCAAACAGAGAGUCAGUACUGCACCAUGUGAACAUGCUUCAUACAGAAGAUCAGCACCUCACUCUGUGAACAUGUGUCAUACAGAAGGUCAGCACUGCACUGUGUGAACACGCUUCAUACAGAAGGUCAGCACCGCAUUGUGUGAACAUGUGUCAUACAGAGAGUCAGCACCGCACCGUGUGAACACGCUUCAUACAGAGGGUCAGCACCGCAUUGUGUGAACAUGCUUCAUACAUGAGGUCAGCACCUCAUUGUGUGAACACACUUCAUACAGAGUCAGCACUGCACUACGUGAACAUGCUUCAUACAGAGGGUCAGCACCUCACUGUGUGAACACGCUUCAUACAGAGAGUCAGCACCGCACCGUGUGAACACGCUUCAUACAGAGGGUCAGCACCGCACUGUGUGAACACACUUCACACAGAGGGUCUGUACCACAUUCCGUCAACAUGUGUCAGCACCAUACCAUGUGAACACGCUUGGUACAGUGAUAUACAUGCAUGUGGCAGAGCUGUGAAAUUAUGACCUGCUGCAGACAGACUUUGUACACUGUGCUAUCAGCCAACUGGGCAAAUGUGGACAAGAGUCCCUGCAUGUCUCUAUUCACCAGGUGUCUGUCAAAUGAAAUGGGCUGAACUGGAUAAUGGCAGGUCUGACCCAUGAUUACUGCCUGUAAGAGCUGAGUUAUCCCAGAGUGUAGGCGUGGGAUAUUAAAAUAUAUAUAUAUGCAAAUAUAUUUGGGCUGGGUUUGGUGGGUCAUGCCUGUAAUCCAGCACUUUGGGAGGCUCAGGCAGGCGGAUAACCUGAGGCCAGGAAUUCAAGACCAGCCUGGCCAACAUGGUGAAACCCCGUCUCUACAAAAAAAUACAAAAAAUUGGCCAGGCACGGUGGCUCACGCCUAUAAUCCCAACACUUUGGGAGGCCGAGGUGGGCAGAUCACCUGAGGUCAGGAGUUUGAGACCAGGCUGGCCAACAUAUAGUGAAACCCCAACUCUACUAAAAAAAUACAAAAAUUAACUGGGAGUGGUGGCAAACGUCUGUGGUCCCAGCUACUUGGGAAGCUGAGGCAGGAGAAUCGCUCAAACCCGGGAGGUGGAGGUUGCAGUGAGCCGAGAUACCGCCACUCCACUCCAGCCUGGGUGACAGAUCAAGACUCCAUCUCUCAAAAAAACAAGAACAAAAACAAAAAACAACAACUUAGCCGGACGUGGUGGUGGGUGCCUGUAAUCUCAGCUACUCAGGAGGCUGAGGCACAAGAAUCCCUUGAACCUGGGAGGUGGAGGUUGCAGUGAGCAGAGAUCUCACCAUUGCACUCCAGCCUGGGCAACAAGAGCGAAACUCCAUCUCAAAAAAUAAAUAAAUAAAUAAAUAAUAAAUAAAAAUAAAAAUAUAUUUGGU